GGGGGUAUAGCUCAAUGGUAGAGCACCCGCAUACGUAUCGGAAGGUCGGGGGUUCGACUCCCUCUGCCUCCA
rnacentral:tRNA from 1 species